AUACGGAGGGUGCAAGCGUUAUUCGGAAUCACUGGGCGUAAAGGGUGCGUAGGCGGUUGGAGAAGUCUGAUGUGAAAUCCUAUGGCUCAACCAUAGAACUGCAUUGGAAACUGUCAAACUAGAAUACUGAAGGGGCAGAUGGAAUUAGUGGUGUAGGGGUAAAAUCCGUAGAUAUCACUAGGAAUACCGAAAGCGAAAGCGAUCUGCUGGGAAGUUAUUGACGCUGAGGCACGAAAGCGUGGGGAGCAAACGGGAUUAGAAACCCCAGUAGUCC
rnacentral:rRNA from 1 species